GACGAACGCUGGCGGCGUGCUUAACACAUGCAAGUCGAACGAAGUGGCGAACGGGUUAGUAACGCGUAAUCAACCUGCCCUUCAGAGGGGUACAACAGCUGGAAACGACUGCUAAUACCUCAUACUGAAGGAGGGGAGUUCGUCUGAUUAGCUAGUUGGGGGGGGAACGGCCCACCAAGGCGGUGAUCAGUAGCCGGUCUGGGAGGAUGAACUGCCACAUUGGGACUGUGACACGGCCCAGACUCCUACGGGGGGCAGCAGGGGGGAAUCUUCCGCAAUUGACGAAAGUCUGACGGAGCACAGCCGCGUGAGUGAUGACGGGCUUCGGGUUGGAAAGCUCUGUUAAUCGGGACGCGGUACCGGAAUAGAAAGCCCCGGCUAACUACGUGCCAGCAGCCGCGGUAAUUC
rnacentral:rRNA from 1 species